AGUUUUGGCACAGAAACUGCUUUGUUCAUCGUGUAUAAUGACCUAUGUAGGGAGACAGACAGGGGAAAUGUGUGCCUCUUAAUUCUCCUCGAUACCACCGACCAUGGUAUCUUUCUGGAGCAGCUGUUGGAGUUAGGGGUGUAGGAUUGGAUGUGCUGGACCGUUGUCUUGUCUCGGUAAUGGACUGGAUGAGAGACAAUAAACCAAAGUUCAUCCAGAUAAGAC